rnacentral:rRNA from 1 species
GACGAACGCUGGCGGCAGGCCUAACACAUGCAAGUCGGGCGAGCGGCGGACGGGUGAGUAAUGUAUGGGGAUCUGCCUGAUGGAGGGGGAUAACACUUGGAAACAGGUGCUAAUACCGCAUACUGAUGGAUGGACCCGCGGUGCAUUCGCUAGUUGGUGAGGUAACGGCUCACCAAGGCCACGAUGCAUAGCCGACCUGAGAGGGUGAUCAGCCACACUGGGACUGAGACACGGCCCAGACUCCUACGGGAGGCAGCAGUGGGGAAUAUUGCACAAUGGGCGAAAGCCUGAUGCAGCCAUGCCGCGUGUAUGAAGAAGGCCUUCGGGUUGUAAAGUACUUUCAGUCGGGAGGCGUUACCGACAGAAGAAGCACCGGCUAACUCCGUGCCAGCAGCCGCGGUAAUUC